rnacentral:rRNA from 1 species
AACGAACGCUGGCGGCAGGCUUAACACAUGCAAGUCGAACGGUUGUAGCAAUACAGCAGCGGCAGACGGGUGAGUAACACGUGGGAAACUUCCUAGGGGUACGGAACAACUCAGGGAAACUUGAGCUAAUACCGUAUACGUCCGUGAGGAGAAAGAUUUAUCGCCCUUAGACGGGCCCGCGUCGGAUUAGGUAGUUGGUGGGGUAACGGCCUACCAAGCCUACGAUCCGUAGCUGAUCUGAGAGGAUGAUCAGCCACACUGGGACUGAGACACGGCCCAGACUCCUACGGGAGGCAGCAGUGGGGAAUCUUGGACAAUGGGCGCAAGCCUGAUCCAGCCAUGCCGCGUGAGUGAAGAAGGCCUUAGGGUUGUAAAGCUCUUUUGCCAGGGACGAUAAUGACGGUACCUGGAGAAUAAGCCCCGGCAAACUUCGUGCCAGCAGCCGCAGUAAUAC